rnacentral:tRNA from 1 species
GAGAGGGUAGCUUAUAAAAAGCGCUUAAUUGUUAAUUAAGAGAAGUAUUGCCCCACUCC